rnacentral:rRNA from 1 species
UACGUAGGGUGCGAGCGUUAAUCGGAAUUACUGGGCGUAAAGCGUGCGCAGGCGGUUUUGUAAGACAGAUGUGAAAUCCCCGGGCUUAACCUGGGAACUGCGUUUGUGACUGCAAGACUUGAGUGCGGCAGAGGGGGGUGGAAUUCCACGUGUAGCAGUGAAAUGCGUAGAGAUGUGGAGGAACACCGAUGGCGAAGGCAGCCCCCUGGGUCGACACUGACGCUCAUGCACGAAAGCGUGGGUAG